rnacentral:rRNA from 1 species
CUCCUACGGGAGGCAGCAGUAAGGAAUAUUGGUCAAUGGACGCAAGUCUGAACCAGCCAUGCCGCGUGGAGGAUGAAGGUCCUCUGGAUUGUAAACUUCUUUUAUCUGGGAAGAAACCCAUAGUUUCUACUGUGGUUGACGGUACCAGAUGAAUAAGCACCGGCUAACUCCGUGCCAGCAGCCGCGGUAAUACGGAGGGUGCAAGCGUUAUCCGGAUUCACUGGGUUUAAAGGGUGCGUAGGUGGGCAGGUAAGUCAGUGGUGAAAUCUCCGGGCUUAACCCGGAAACUGCCGUUGAUACUAUCGGUCUUGAAUAUCGUGGAGAUGAGCGGAAUAUGUCAUGUAGCGGUGAAAUGCUUAGAUAUGACAUAGAACACCGAUUGCGAAGGCAGCUCGUUACACGGUUAUUGACACUGAGGCACGAAAGCGUGGGGAUCAAACAGGAUUAGAUACCCUGGUAGUCCACGCCCUAAACGAUGAUUACUCGACAUCAGCGAUACACUGUUGGUGUCUGAGCGAAAGCAUUAAGUAAUCCACCUGGGAAGUACGACCGCAAGGUUGAAACUCAAAGGAAUUGACGG